rnacentral:rRNA from 1 species
AUGCUCGAGCUGCGGGGCUGCGACCUCUCCACCUCCGCCGCCAGGGGGCUGCUCGACCUCCGACACACGCUCGAGAGGCUCGUCUGCCACAACUCCACGGAUGCUCUUAGGCAUAUAUUUGUGAGUAGAGUGAUGGAUAUCAAGGACUCUCCUGUAUGGAUCCGGCUUUCGUACGUCUCUUGUGCUUCUAAUGAUCUCGUACUCAUGGACGAGUCAUUGCAAUUGUUACCUGCGGUUGAAACCCUUGAUCUUAGUCGGAACCGAUUUGCAAAGGUGGAUAAUCUGCGGAAAUGUACAAAGUUGCGAAAUCUGGACCUUGGAUUUAAUCAUUUGCGCUCUAUAUCAUCCUUGAGUGAGGUUUUCAGUCGGAUUGGUAAACUAGUACUUAGAAACAAUGCUUUAACUACUAUACAUGGGAUUGAAAAUCUCACGUCGCUUGUGGGCCUUGAUCUGUCUUACAACAUCAUAUCAAAUUUCUCAGAGUUGGAAAUUCUUGGCAGCUUCUCUUUGCUACAGAACGUAUGGUUGGAAGGCAAUCCAAUCUGCUGUGCUCGUUGGUAUCGAGCACGUGUUUUUAGUUUUUUCCAUAAUUCAGAAAAUUUAAAGUUAGAUGAUAAAGGUAUGAACACACAAGAAUACUGGGAAAAGCAAGUAUUGUUUGGAAGCAGACAAAAACAACCUGCUGGCUAUGGAUUUUAUUUUCCUGCAAAAGAUGAUCAUGCGGAUGAAUACACUUCAAAUUCUAUGAUGAAAAAGAUUUCCCGACUUGCCUGUAUUCUGGAGGAAGAGAGAAGUCCUUGUGAUGAAGGUGUGGACCAGCAGUCCAGCCCCCGUGAUAGUGCUAGUUCAAAGAAGGAUGAAGUUGCCGUUGCUGAUAAUGACAUAAAAAUUACUUCUUUGAUAAGUACAGCAGAGUUGAUGAAGAAAGAAAGAUCGACUGACUGGCUGCGUGAAUUUAAGGAGUGGAUGGAUGAAAAUACAGAGAACACAGAUGGUGACAGCCUUUAUGUUGAUUUCACUAACAGAAAUGGAAGUCAGAAACAACAAAACAGAAGAGAAAAAUUGAACAUAGAGAGCUCCAAGAGUGUCACAGACCUGGCAAAAACAUCAGAAGGUGGAAGCAGCUCAAACCUUGUGGAGUCUAAAUUGUCUUCCACAGAUGAUGCAUGCAACGGCGCUAAUGGCUUCACUGCAGGAUCCUUGAACGAAGUGAAUGCUGACCAAACUCAUGUAAGGGUACACUUGAAUUCUGCCAUACAGCUUCCUCCACUAGAAUUUGUGGGCACUUCACAUCCAGAUUCUUUUUCUGAUGUGGAAGGUGGUGCAAAUUUUUUGCAUACGAACGGAACACCAUCUAAUGCAACAAGCAAGUUGAUAGAACCAAGUCCAUCCUUUGCAUACCCUAGUCCACAGUCACCCCCACAAUACAAGGAAGAUAUCCUACGUCGAAGACUUUUUAUGGAGGAAGAAUUUUUGCAGAGUUCAGGAGAUUUCCAAUGUGUUGGUUCUCUUGGUAGUGGUAGCAGCUGCAGUGAUGACUCUUCAGGUGAUUUAUGUUCGUGCAAUUCAGAAGAUGAUUGCGUAGCAAUUCAGACAAAAAGGGAACUAGCCCUGAAUGGUCAGAUUGCUUCAUUUCCUUAUGCAGAUAUUGAUCAUGAGGAAAUGGAUGGGAUGGAGUUUUUCUCACAAGAGGAAAAAUUGUCUGACUGUUCGGCAGAAGAUGACCCAACUUUUACAGAUGCCAUAGAGUUUGGUAUUAAGGAGCCAGAUGACAGUAACCAGAGGAAUGGACAUCUAGGUCAAGAUUCAGGUGGCCAUCUGAUUAGACAAAAUGACAAGCAAAAGGUUAAGAGGAAGAUAUUCCCUAUUUUUAAGAACCGUAAUGGCACUAAACUAGAAUUUCCAGAGGCUAAUGGAGAUAAGUUGGAAGAGGGGGUUUCAGUGGGUGCAAAUGGUCACCUGAGCUACAACCUAAGUGGAAGUACUAUUUGCAAGGAUCAAAGCUCAAAAAAACACUAUUCAAGUAUCUUGCACAAGAAUAACUUGUCAAUCGAUGCCGAUACAGUUACUUGCAACACUGAUAGGGAUAAGUACAAGCUUAUAGAGGAUUUCUUCAAUUUGGAAGUUGCUAAUGUUGAAGAGUCCGAAAUAUGUGAACAAGGAGCUCGUUGUGGAUACAUAUUUCAAGAUGGAAGCGAUUUAAUUCAAAGAACCAAAGAUUAUCAGUACAAGUACGGAUUACUUCUUUUUCUAGAAGUAGCCUUGUUGAGAAGUUCUCAGAAUAAAUUGUAUGUUCUGCUAGUUGAUAUGGAGCAAGAUGAACAAGAAAUAAUGCCAAGAGUUUUGGGGUGCUAUAGGCUUGAAGAUCUGGAAAAAGUUUUGACUGGGCUGGGUCUACAAGCACUAAGGGUACACAUGGCAGAUCAUACAGCUCAUCUAUUCUUGACACGUACUUCCAAGGAAGCACAAGAUGUACUUUGGCUCUUGAAUCUGUUCAGCUUUCCACAGUUAACUAGCGGGGUAUCUUUGCAAAGUUGGGAGAAGAUCCAAGUUAAAUUGCUCGAGAAAUGUAUAUGUGCAAGUUUGAAGAUGGGGAUAUUUCUCUACUCCAUGUUGAUGUUUUGGAAGAAUGAUGCUGAAGAGGAAUCCCUGGUUAUUAGAUCCCUUGUUGUUACUGAAGGAUCAAUAUGUGUGUGCAUUGAGAACCUACAUCAGUUUGGUUGCUUUCCUGAUGAUUCACAUCCUCCAUAUUUUUCUCUCGAUGAAUGCUGCUCUAUCAACAGUAUUAAGGAAGUGGUUGUGGAUCAGCGCGACAAGGAAUGCUUGACAUUAAUUUUGCACAAACACAUAAACGAAGGAAGAUUUCACAGCAGCACUGGAAAUUCGCAGAACAAGCAAGCAGAUGAAAAUUACACAGUACAUACAUGGAAACUGAAGUGGUUUUCUGAAGAAACUCUUUUGAAGUUCAUUUCUGUACUUAAGGCUCUUUACUCUGGAGCAGUUUCUUCGCCGUUACCUGUAAAGUGUAUAUCCUGA